UGUUGUGAUGAAAACCUUUCUCAGCUCACUCAGAGUCACGGCGAUGCUGAUAACCUUUCCUAAUCCAACAUUCAUCAAAAAUCUGAUUAACA
rnacentral:snoRNA from 1 species